CGGCUACAUCACGUUAAAACACCGGUUCCCGUACAAUCAUUAAAGUUAAGCAACGUCGAGCCUGGUCAGUAACUAGAUGGGAGACUGCUUGAGACUACCAGGUGAUGU